CUCAGGAUGAACGCUGGCGGCGUGCCUAAUACAUGCAAGUCGAACGAAUCUUCUUCGGAAGAUGAGUGGCGAACGGGUGAGUAAUACAUAGGUAACCUGCCCCUGUGCGGGGGAUAACAGGAGGAAACUCCUGCUAAUACCGCAUAGCCAUGAGCACCGCAUGGAGCUCAUGCCAAAUAUCCUUCACGGGAUAGCGCAGGGAUGGACCUAUGGCGCAUUAGCUAGUUGGCGGGGCAACGGCCCACCAAGGCAACGAUGCGUAGCCGGCCUGAGAGGGCGGACGGCCACAUUGGGACUGAGACACGGCCCAGACUCCUACGGGAGGCAGCAGUAGGGAAUUUUCGGCAAUGGGGGAAACCCUGACCGAGCAACGCCGCGUGAGCGAAGAAGGCCUUCGGGUCGUAAAGCUCUGUUGUAAAGGAAGAACGUCGGACACAGGAAAUGGUGUGCGAGUGACGGUACUUUACCAGAAAGCCACGGCUAACUACGUGCCAGCAGCCGCGGUAAUACGUAGGUGGCGAGCGUUAUCCGGAAUCAUUGGGCGUAAAGAGGGAGCAGGCGGCCGCAAGGGUCUGUGGUGAAAGACCGAAGCUAAACUUCGGUAAGCCAUGGAAACCGGGCGGCUAGAGUGCGGAAGAGGAUCGUGGAAUUCCAUGUGUAGCGGUGAAAUGCGUAGAUAUAUGGAGGAACACCAGUGGCGAAGGCGACGGUCUGGGCCGCAACUGACGCUCAUUCCCGAAAGCGUGGGGAGCAAAUAGGAUUAGAUACCCUAGUAGUCCACGCCGUAAACGAUGGUCACUAAGUGUCGGGGGUCAAACCCCGGUGCUGCAGUCAACGCAAUAAGUGACCCGCCUGAGUAGUACGUUCGCAAGAAUGAAACUCAAAGGAAUUGACGGGGGCCCGCACAA
rnacentral:rRNA from 1 species